UACGUAUGGUGCGAACGUUGUUCGGAAUCACUGGGCAUAAAGAGCACGUAGGCGGUCUAAUAAGUCCUGUGUGAAAGCCCCCGGCUUAACCGGGGAACUGCACAGGAUACUGUUGGACUAGAGUGCAGGAGGGGAGAGCGGAAUUCCUGGUGGAGCGGUGAAAUGCGUAGAUAUCAGGAGGAACGCCGGUGGCGAAAGCGGCUCUCUGGUCUGCUACUGACGCUGAGGUGCGAAAGCUAGGGGAGCAAACGGG
rnacentral:rRNA from 1 species